rnacentral:rRNA from 1 species
UUAUGGUUCCUUAUAUCGUACCCACACUUACUUGGAUAACUGUGGUAAUUCUAGAGCUAAUACAUGCAAACAGAGCUCCGACCGGAGACGGAAGGAGUGCUUUUAUUAGAUCAAAACCAAUCGGCGGCGGGCGCGUUCGCGCGUCCGUUCGCCGCUCAACCUGGUGACUCUGAAUAACUUUCGGCUGAUCGCACGGUCUCGCACCGGCGACGCAUCUUUCAAAUGUCUGCCUUAUCAACUGUCGAUGGUAGGUUCUGCGCCUACCAUGGUCGUAACGGGUAACGGGGAAUCAGGGUUCGAUUCCGGAGAGGGAGCCUGAGAAACGGCUACCACAUCCAAGGAAGGCAGCAGGCGCGCAAAUUACCCACUCCCGGCACGGGGAGGUAGUGACGAAAAAUAACGAUACGGGACUCAUCCGAGGCCCCGUAAUCGGAAUGAGUACACUUUAAAUCCUUUAACGAGGAUCAAUUGGAGGGCAAGUCUGGUGCCAGCAGCCGCGGUAAUUCCAGCUCCNAUAGCGUA